UAAGUAUUUCUUAGAUAUGCUUUUCUAAAAACAGUGAUGUCCCGACACGACGUCGGGACAAGCAACCAGCGACACGAUGUCACAUUGGUUGCGUUCACGUCCGUUUUCUCAAUAAAAAAAGCACAUCUUAGAAAUACUUAGC
rnacentral:ncRNA from 1 species